rnacentral:rRNA from 1 species
CAGCCGCCGCGGGAAUACGAAGGGGGCUAGCGUUGCUCGGAAUGACUGGGCGUAAAGGGCGCGUAGGCGGCGAUCAAAGUCAGGCGUGAAAUUCCUGGGCUCAACCUGGGGGCUGCGCUUGAUACUUGGUUGCUUGAGUGGGGAAGAGGGUCGUGGAAUUCCCAGUGUAGAGGUGAAAUUCGUAGAGAUGUGGAGGAAUACCGAUGGCGAAGGCAGCCUCCUGGGAUAACACUGACGUUCAUGCCCGAAAGCGUGGGUAGCAAACAGGAUUAGAUACCCCAGUAGUCCCUGUCUCUUAUAC